rnacentral:lncRNA from 1 species
UCUUUUAUUUUGUCACACAAAUCAGAGGUAGUUUCCAUAGUAAAAACCAACUCUAAUCAGAUUAGAAUUGGUUUGAAUUAAUUAGGCUCAAUCUCUAUCUAGAUAGAUAUCCUAACUAAUCAAGAAACCAUGUAACAACCUCUCCGCACCCCUUCACACGUGCCAAAAAAAAAUCAGUGAGAAAAAUCACCACCCCAUCUC